rnacentral:rRNA from 1 species
GAGUUUGAUCGUGGCUCAGAUUGAACGCUGGCGGCAGGCCUAACACAUGCAAGUCGGGCGGUAGAGAGAAGCUUGCUUCUCUUGAGAGCGGCGGACGGGUGAGUAAUGCCUAGGAAUCUGCCUGGUAGUGGGGGAUAACGCUCGGAAACGGACGCUAAUACCGCAUACGUCCUACGGGAGAAAGCAGGGGACCUUCGGGCCUUGCGCUAUCAGAUGAGCCUAGGUCGGAUUAGCUAGUUGGUGAGGUAAUGGCUCACCAAGGCGACGAUCCGUAACUGGUCUGAGAGGAUGAUCAGUCACACUGGAACUGAGACACGGUCCAGACUCCUACGGGAGGCAGCAGUGGGGAAUAUUGGACAAUGGGCGAAAGCCUGAUCCAGCCAUGCCGCGUGUGUGAAGAAGGUCUUCGGAUUGUAAAGCACUUUAAGUUGGGAGGAAGGGCAGUAAAUUAAUACUUUGCUGUUUUGACGUUACCGACAGAAUAAGCACCGGCUAACUCUGUGCCAGCCGCCGCCG